GAUCAUGGCUCAGGACGAACGCUGGCGGCGUGCCUAACACAUGCAAGUCGAACGGAACUGUUUUGAAAGAUUUCUUCGGAAUGAAUUUGAUUUAGUUUAGUGGCGGACGGGUGAGUAACGCGUGAGUAACCUGCCUUCAAGAGGGGGAUAACAUUCUGAAAAGAAUGCUAAUACCGCAUGAUAUAUCGGAAUCACAUGAUUUUGAUAUCAAAGAUUUUAUCGCUUGAAGAUGGACUCGCG
rnacentral:rRNA from 1 species